rnacentral:tRNA from 1 species
GGGUAUAUAGCUUAACAUGGUAAAGCAGUAAACUUUUAAUUUAUUGAUUUUAGGUUCGAGUCCUAAUACACCCA